CUUCCCUGAACAUUUGAGGCAACACCUCCCAGUGGGAUCUGUGGUAGCCUGGGCACUGGGGACAGGCCUGGGCCCAGAGCCUCAGCUGGGGAAACAGGUUUGACGAGGCCCUCGCUGCCUCACUUCCGAUAGCAAACAAGCCAUGCCUGGGAGGACACGACCCAGCCUCACCAGCCAAUGGAUCUCCUGCCUUUUCUCCUCUGGUGAGAAUCAGGGCACCAGCGACUAUUCACUGACCGCCGUUGGGUGUGUGGCUUGGUGAGGAAAAUAGAGCUGGGACAUUGACUCCGUCUUCAGGGACUAUGCAGCCUCGUUGGGAGAGAGGAUAUAGAACGGGUGGUCAGAGACGGGCCUUUACAGAGGAGACAGGGCCACAGCUAGACCUCGAAGGAUGGGGGAGUAUCAGCUGGUGAGAAGAAUAAGGCGAUGCAGUAGGACGGCACGGAAAGACACAGAGGUCAGAGGACUGAAGGUGGACCCAGUGAAGGAAAAGAAGACACUCUGGCCAGAGCAGAGACUCUCUAUGCGUGAACAUUGAGAGAAAAUGCUGUAAAGAGUCAUCCUGAAAGAGCUGGCACUGUCUCUGAGGUUCUUGGGCAGUUCUGCACUUCGUGUGAUCACCACAUACAAUGGGCAAAACAGGUCCCGUGAGGGUAAAGCAAAUAAGUCCUCCCUGGCAAUUCACACUCGUGUCACUGCAGAGCUCACAGCACUGGCACCGGCUCCAACAAGAAAACCCACAUGCUUGUCAGUGACAUCCUGGACCCUCCCAUUUGGGCUGUGGCACCAGCAUAACCGAAUCAUAUUUGGCGAAGGAAAGAUCCCGUCUGGCUUUGUGCUAAUGACACUGAAGAAAAAGUCAGUACUCUUUGGGGGACUGAAUUCCUAACUGACUUCCAAGUUCUGAGUUCAGAACUAGGUUUGCCCUUUCUUGACAAAGCUCCCCCAGGAUUAAAGGGAGCUGAUGUAUCUUUGUCAUCAAACACAUCAUGACAAAUUAGUCUUUCACUAAUUCAUCCCAAAAUGCAUUGAGCAACUGCUUUGUCCAUUAAAGGUGUGUGAACCGAUGGAUGGAUGGACAGAAUGGAUGGAUGGUGGAUGAGUUCACUCACCAGCUGGGCAUGUGAGACAGGGUUUUCUCUCUCACAAGUGACAAAAACUUAAAUUUAAGUAGCUUAAGAGAGAAUAAAAAAAGAAACGCAUUGA